AUUGAACGCUGGCGGCAGGCCUAACACAUGCAAGUCGAACGAGUGGCGGACGGGUGAGUAAUGCCUGGGAAACUGCCCGAUGGAGGGGGAUAACUACUGGAAACGGUAGCUAAUACCGCAUACCAUCGGAUGUGCCCAGCUGGGCUUAGCUAGUAGGGGGGGUAACGGCUCACCUAGCCUCAGAUCCCUAGCUGGUGUGAGAGGCAGACAAGCAACACUGGAACUGAGACACGGUACGGACACCGACGGGAGGCAGCAGUGGGGAAUAUUGAACGAUGGGCGCACGCCUGAUGCAGCCAUGCCGCGUGUAUGAAGAAGGCCUGCGGGUUGUAAAGUACUUUCAGCGAGGAGGCGUUACUCGCAGAAGAAGCACCGGCUAACUCCGUGCCAGCAGCCGCGGUAAUUC
rnacentral:rRNA from 1 species